ACUGGUUUCCUCCUGCUGUGGGCUGCAUGUGACCUGCCCUUACUUGUUGCGCCGCCGCUGUUCCUGCUGCAGCGGGGCACCGUGCGUUAGAACUACAGAGCCACGAGUAUAAGCGUAAGCAGCCAUCACAAAGGAAAAAUGGUUACAGCACAUAUCCUUGCAUUCCACACUGCGUUUCAAGGGGAAAAAAUAGGAUAGGUCCAUCAGUGAGGGUAGCAAUUUAAUUGUUUCUUCUCUGUCCUGAGGAAUUGCUCGGCAGUGCAGUGGGAGGCCAAUACACUUUUUCCACUUGCAGAGGCUGGUCAGAUUUAGUCACCAAUAAAACUUACAGUAAGCCUUAUAACCCAACUGUUGAUUUGGCAACUUCAUGUUCUUUCCUGGUAGCUAACACUCAGAUGUUCCUAUUUUUAAAUGUGAUUUCCCCAAAA